UGGGGAAUAUUGGACAAUGGAGGAAACUCUGAUCCAGCAAUUCUGUGUGCACGAUGAAGGUUUUCGGAUCGUAAAGUGCUUUCAGUAGGGAAGAAGAAAGUGACGGUACCUACAGAAGAAGCGACGGCUAAAUACGUGCCAGCAGCCGCGGUAAUACGUAUGUCGCAAGCGUUAUCCGGAAUUAUUGGGCGUAAAGGGCAUCUAGGCGGUCAAUCAAGUCGAAGGUGAAAACUUGUGGCUCAACCAUAAGCUUGCCUACGAAACUGAUUAACUAGAGUACUGGAGAGGUGGACGGAACUACACGAGUAGAGGUGAAAUUCGUAGAUAUGUGUAGGAAUGCCGAUGAUGAAGAUAGUUCACUGGACAGAAACUGACGCUGAAGUGCGAAAGCUAGGGGAGCAAACA
rnacentral:rRNA from 2 species